ACUCAAAGGAAUAGACGGGGGCCCGCACAAGCAGCGGAGCAUGUGGUUUAAUUCGACGCAACGCGAAGAACCUUACCUGGGCUUGACAUGUUCCUGACCGGCCUGGAAACAGGUCUUCUCUUCGGAGCAGGAUCACAGGUGGUGCAUGGCUGUCGUCAGCUCGUGUCGUGAGAUGUUGGGUUAAGUCCCGCAACGAGCGCAACCCCCGUCGCAUGUUGCCAGCAUUAAGUUGGGGACUCAUGCGAGACUGCCGGUGACAAACCGGAGGAAGGUGGGGAUGACGUCAAGUCAUCAUGCCCCUUAUGUCCAGGGCUACACACGUGCUACAUUGGCGCAUACAGAGGGCUGCGAUACCGUGAGGUGGAGCGAAUCCCUUAAAGUGCGUCUCGGUUCGGAUUGAAGGCUGAAACUCGCCUUCAUGAAGGUGGAGUUGCUAGUAAUCGUGGAUCAGCAUUGCCACGGUGAAUACGUUCCCGGGCCUUGCACACACCGCCCGU
rnacentral:rRNA from 1 species